GUGAUUGCCACUCGGAAGUGCUGGAAUCAGGUCGCAUUUUAAUGACCAGGAAGCACUGAAGGAGGCUGUCUCACAACAUGAACACCUUUGGUACAGAUGAUCAUGUAUUCAAGAAAAUUACA